UACGGAGGAUGCAAGCGUUAUCCGGAAUGAUUGGGCGUAAAGCGUCCGCAGGUGGCAAUGUAAGUCUGCUGUUAAAGAGUGAGGCUCAACCUCAUAAGAGCAGUGGAAACUACAUAGCUAGAGUGCGUUCGGGGCAAAGGGAAUUCCUGGUGUAGCGGUGAAAUGCGUAGAGAUCAGGAAGAACACCGGUGGCGAAAGCGCUUUGCUAGGCCGCAACUGACACUCAGGGACGAAAGCUAGGGGAGCGAAUGGG
rnacentral:rRNA from 1 species